GGAAUCUUCCACAAUGGGCGAAAGCCUGAUGGAGCAACGCCGCGUGUGUGAUGAAGGGUUUCGGCUCGUAAAACACUGCUGUAAGAGAAGAAUGACAUUGAGAGUAACUGUUCAAUGUGUGACGGUAUCUUACCAGAAAGGAACGGCUAAAUACGUGCCAG
rnacentral:rRNA from 1 species